GGCGCUGACGUGGCACCGAGAUUGGUUCGUAAAUGUGAGAAAACAAAAAAAAAAUUCCUUUUCCGAUUCAUUUUAUUCUCGAGACUCUCUCUCUUCUCCUUGUUUUCUAAUUUCUCCGAUGGCGAAAUUGAGAGCAAAUCGUGUUGUUCUUCAUAAUCCGGCGUCUAGGUCAUCAAAUUGGAAGAGAAAGGUGAAACAAAGUCGUAACCAAUCAUCCGUGAUGAUCAGCUCUACUGUCGGUGGUCACCAACAUAAGUUCGGUGGACCAAAUCAGUGCGUUCGGCAAAUCAAAUCGGAUAGUUAGGCGAUUCCAUGCUCCAAUCGCUUAAUCACGGUUUUCAGAGAAAAUUUGCUAUCCAAGGAUUUUGUUAAUAUCCACACACCGAAACUCUUGGCCGGUAGUAGUGAAGGAGGUUCUGCUGUAUUUAGGUUGGAAUACCAAGGACAGCCUGCUUGUCUAGCUCAGUCUCCUCAGCUUCACAAGCAAAUGACAAUAUAUAAUGGACCUUGUGGACGAGUUAUUUGUGUUUAUAUUCACUAGUUUAAAUAAUAAAUGCAAAAAGGAACUUGAAGCUAUUGGAAACAAUACCCAUUUAAACCUUUGAAGUUUCUUGAAAAGACAUUGAGGUUAACGUUUGAAGAAGGGGUUCAAAUUCUUAAGGAAGCUGGUGUGGAGAUUGAUCCUCUUGGCGAUCUAAACACUGAAUCUCAGAGAAAACUUGGCCAACUUGUACUGGAAAAGUAAUCCAUCACUUAUUUUAGUUUUCAAAAUGAUUUAGUUAUUUAUCUCAGAGUUACAAAGUUGUUAAUUUAAUUUUUUUUUUUUUUUUUUAAGAAACCCACUUAAGGAUUCUACCAUUGGACAAAGAAAAUUUUAAGGAUUCAUAAGAAACUCUUAAUUUUAAAA